ACUAGUGGGAGAAUGCAGGUUGGGAAGGUAGCGGGUUUGGCCGGCUGUGAGGCUGUCCCCAUGGUGGGUCCUCUAAAAGUAAUAAUACGUCCCAGCAGUUCGUGAGCACCUGCAAUGCGCCCUUAGACACGAAGCGGUACUUGGGCGCCACUCUGAGUGCCUGCCGUGAAUCCACUCAUUUGAUGUGCAGCCAUCAUCUUCAAAGCACCUGCCGUCCACUAGGCACUGAGCUGAUCCUCAUGUGGACCCCAUGAGGGGGACAUUAUCCUCACCCCCUCUUCACCAGAUGCGGAAAUAGAGGCCCAGAAAGACAAGCAGCUGUAUUACUUGGUGGAAGGAAAGUGGGCUCCAGGGUCAACUGGACCCAAGAAUUCAAACCUUGACUUUGCCCCUUCCGACUGUACGACCUCACGCAAGUGCCUCCAUCUCUCAGAGCCUCAGUUUAGGGUUAGGGCUCUGACAAACGUGAUGAUUGUACUCAAAUCACCCGGAGCCAGACCUGGUGGGAGCGCCUAAGAAGCGAGGGAGGGCAAGGACUGUGGGCUUGGACUGCCCUGGGCCCCAGUCCCACUCUGCUGCUUCCUAGCUGUGUGACCUUCAGCGUGAUGUUUAACCUCUCUGGGCCUCCACGUCCUCUGUACGAUGGGGAUCGUAGUAACACCUCCCUCAUACCACUGACAGAAGGAACGAGUGAGCUGACACCCCAGGAGCCCUCCGCACAGCACUGGGUGUUCCACAGGCACUAACACAGUCCAUUGAGAGCCGGUGAGCUGAUGACAUCUUUGUCCUGACAGGAACAGUUCUACAGACUUGGACUCCAUGGUCUUAAGCAUCCAUCAGGCUUCCAUUCCAGGCCAGAGCACCACCAAAGAGACACUUAGUUGGCUAGCUUAGAGAAAGAUGGAAAGGCAAGAAAGAAGGGGAAGCAAAGGCUGGGCCAGGCGAGGAGGCUGAAGCCACAGGUGGUGGUAAUAUGAGAUAGGCCCCAGCCUAGGAGGGGUCCCCGGGCUGCCCAGCCCCUGCAGACCCUGGUCCCCCUCACAGAACAAGAGCUCCACCUGGGAGUGUGGAGGAGGGCAGUCCUGGAGACCCCGGGCAGGAGCUCAGAAGAGAAAGGUGGACAAUUUGUUCUAAGGAAAAGCCAUGUAAUGUGAAUUCACUGAGAACCAGGCCAAAAUCUCAGAAAAAAAGUUAGAGAAAUAGAGAAAUUUGCCUAGAACCUGUCUUGCAAAGUAAAAAAAAAAAAAAAGAAAAGUGAAAAUAAAUUGGUUUUUCUCCUUGACCUAACAUGAUAACAUAAUUAUACAAAUUCUUAGCAUGAUCAAAGUGAAGGGAAUGUUGAUAUAUUUAAAUAAAUAUAAAAAAAAAAAUAAAAUGGCGUGACAGAACAUAACCUUUUCGUUGCAUGAGACCAAGCCGACAUAAUCAUGGAGAGAGUCAUUCAGUCUGCACUGUGGCCACUCCCAGGGCCCUUGGUCCCCACUCCCAUAACUGGCCGGCCCACUGCAGACUCUGGAAACCUGGAGGCGGCUGCGGCCCCGCCCACCCCAGGAUGGACUCCCGAGUACCACUUCCACCACCUCCAGCUUUUGAUCCAGAAGACAGGCCCAGAUGCACCUGAUUGGUGGGCGCUGGUCACGUGGCUGUAACCACGCCUCUGGGGAGCAACCCCACUGGGGUCCUGCCUUCCUUCCCUCCGCAGUCCCUAUCCCUCAGACCCUCAUUGGCUCCUGCAGCCUGUUCCACAUCCCAAGAGGGACGAGUCCACCCCCUCCAGUUUUUGAAUAACUAAAGGAUUAUUGUGUCCCACUUCAGGAACAAAUGAGAAACCAGGAAAACAUAUUUUUACAAUUUUUAACAAUGAAGGAACUAAUUUUCCCAUUACAAAGAUGGUCUCAAAUAAACAAGACAAACGCUCCAUGGAGAAAAUGGUAACACCAUAAAAAUGAAAGCAGCUUGGGUAUCCACUAGGCACCAGAUGCCGGGGAUACAAAAGUGGACGAAGGCUGCUUCCUCCUGAGCUCACUGUCUGUGGGAAAAAUGGCUAAGAGGCUGGUCCGAACCCCGCAGGGACCAGGGGCGCCUGGGGAGCUGGGGGACGGCAGAGCCAUGCCCACGUGAAGGGGUGGUGAGCUGAGAAGGGGACAGAGUGCCCCAGGAAGAAGGUGCUGCUCAGGCAAAGGCGUGGCGGGAGGAAGAACUCCAGCCACAGCUUCUAGAACCUUCCAGACCACAGGUGUCCACCGACUUGCGUUCUGUUGUUUUUAAUGUGAUUUUUUUGGCCCAGCAUUUAAAAAUCCAGACUUUUCACACACGACCUCGGAUUUCUGCCUUCUCUUGAUAAAUGGAAAGACUCGGGCUGCGUGACGGCUAAGAAGCAGCUGAGAAGGGCUUGUUCUCUCCAGUCCAUGGCAGCCACCACCCAGCUCACCCCUCACUCUUCACGUCACCAAGCUAUCUGAGUUUUUUGACUCCCUGUUUUAAAGGUUGCCAGGGAGGACACUGGGGAAUCAGGCCCAGAGAGCUUGAGCAACUCUCCCAAAAUCACACAGCACACAAAACAGGGCUACAGCCUGAGGACUCAGGACAUGAACCACCUCCUCCCCGGAGCCCCAUGGACCCCCACCUCAGUCCUCCAGGAGCCGCUGACCCUGGCCCUGAGCCCCCGGAGAGCCAGGAGGCCUGGCCAGGGAAGGCCCCGUCCUGUUUAGGUUUUGUGGUCUCGUGAGUAACUGAGUGGAAAAAAACAAGCUUGAAAAGAUAACAAUUACAACGAAAAUUAAAUCAAA